GAGGGUAAAGAGCAUUAAAGUUCCUUAGAAUCCACUAUUCUGAGACGUGAUUUACGGUGCACGGGAAUGCCUUGUAAAUAGGCAGCGGCCCUCGCCACUGUGAUUGGGCGCGAUUGCGGCCGUUAUCUGCACAGCGGUUAUAUGCGAUAACCGAAAACGCAGGCAAUGGAUCCGAUGAUUGCGGUGCUUCGUCGAAGCCACUCAGGGGGACUCAAACCUUUGGGGAAGGAGGCGAGGCAUUAAUAGAAGUGUGAAGCUUUCCUCAGCCCAUUAGCCAGGAGACCGACUGUAAAUCAUCCAAUUCGC
rnacentral:ncRNA from 23 species